GGAAUGGUACAUGGGAUUUCAGCU
rnacentral:siRNA from 1 species